rnacentral:rRNA from 1 species
GAUGAACGCUGGCGGCGUGCCUAAUACAUGCAAGUCGAGCGAACAGACGAGGAGCUUGCUCCUCUGACGUUAGCGGCGGACGGGUGAGUAACACGUGGAUAACCUACCUAUAAGACUGGGAUAACUUCGGGAAACCGGAGCUAAUACCGGAUAAUAUAUUGAACCGCAUGGUUCAAUAGUGAGAGACGGUUUUGCUGUCACUUAUAGAUGGAUCCGCGCCGCAUUAGCUAGUUGGUAAGGUAACGGCUUACCAAGGCAACGAUGCGUAGCCGACCUGAGAGGGUGAUCGGCCACACUGGAACUGAGACACGGUCCAGACUCCUACGGGAGGCAGCAGUAGGGAAUCUUCCGCAAUGGGCGAAAGCCUGACGGAGCAACGCCGCGUGAGUGAUGAAGGUCUUCGGAUCGUAAAACUCUGUUAUUAGGGAAGAACAAAUGUGUAAGUAACUAUGCACGUCUUGACGGUGCCUAAUCAGAAAGCCACGGCUAACUACGUG